UUGAUGCAGAGGGUAUCGUAAUUUCAUAAAAAGAUAAUUUUGAUACACGAUGUAGAAUGUUAAACCUUAUACUAGAUUUAAUGAAUAAAUUAAGACUUAUCUUUAAUUAUGUGUCAACGCACCCAUUUGUAUGAAAGUUUCAUUUGUUCCAUGGGUAGCUUGGCACACCUACAUCUACACCCUCAUAUUUUCAUUUUGGGUACCCAAGCUUGCUUGGGUCCUUGAGGGUUAGUGCAUAUGGUUCCUUUUGGAACCCA
rnacentral:lncRNA from 1 species